UACGUAGGGUGCAAGCGUUAAUCGGAAUUACUGGGCGUAAAGCGUGCGCAGGCGGUUAUGUAAGACAGAUGUGAAAUGCCCGGGCUUAACCUGGGAACUGCAUUUGUGACUGCAUGGCUAGAGUUGGCAGAGGGGGUAGAAUUCCACGUGUAGCAGUGAAAUGCGUAGAUAUGUGGAGGAACACCGAUGGCGAAGGCAGCCCCUGGGUCAAGACUGACGCUCAUGCAC
rnacentral:rRNA from 1 species